AGCCCUAACAACAUUUUGUGUCAACAGAACAGUACUUUGUUGCAGCAGCAGAGCCAGGAAUCUAAACUAGGAUGGUGGUAACCUCAGAAAAUUUAGUUCAUCAAAAUAAUAUAUAUUCGGACAAAAUUCUUUGAAAUCCUAAUCCAGUUAGCGAUAUAAAUAUCACCACAACAAUGAAAAACUCAAGAAUUAGCCUUGGACAAAGUUAAGAGAACUUAAUACUAUCCAAAACAAGCUAGCACUUAGUCGCAUAUCCUAGAAGCUCUGCCAAAGGUACGAUGCCCACUAAGCUGAAGAAGAAGACCCAUCCCAGCUCAAGUCCCCAGAAGCUGCACCAGGCUCGGUUUCUUCUUUGUUGACACCGACAAGACCCUCCAAGACCGAGCGUACAAGCUCAUCCACUACCCCAGCUCCGAAACUUGGUGGUAACAUCACUCUGAUUUCCGAGGCUAGAUCAAGGAGGUCUGUGAGAAGUGACUCCACCGCUUCUUCUGAUGUUUCUAGACCAACAUGCCGGAAGAAGUUCAACGUUUUUGCCUCGCCAUCUUACUGGCUGCAGGAGAUUAAGCUGUCUGAGGCUGCUGGCAAGCACUCGACUUCACUCAGGUUUUUCAAACUAGCCAUGGAGGCUGAAUGAAGUUGGAGGAGCAAGCUGAGUUGCAAGCAGCGGCGGCGGACUCAGACCAACGCCCCGUCGUGCCCUCGUCCACUUCAAGUCCGAGACUUCCUGCAUGCACCACGAACUCCACUCCUUCGUCUUCUCCCUCCACGGCUGCGUCAAGCUCCAAGCUCCUCUGCUACAUCAUCUCCGUCCUGUGGCUAGGAAUUGGUAGAUCUCGCCGGAGCUCUAGUGAUCUUGUGGAUCUCGAGACAGCUGCUCUUCUGAGCUCAGCCCUCCUCCUCAGCAUCCACCAACUACCUCAAGCUUCAUCAUGCUUCUCCGCCAUCCUCAACACCAUUGCACACCCAGCUGCAAAUCCAAACGACGUCGCAGACACCGGCACCGCCACAGGUCUCCCGCAUCUCCUCCUUGCUGUUGAAGUAGACCAAGUCACCAUCUCCUCCGCUUACGCCGUUCGCAGUGAUCAACCUGCUGUCAACUCCUACUCCCCAACCGCAUCGGCAACAUCAGCACGGGCAGCGCGCUUCUUGACUCAAAGCUCAGCAACGGCAGUGCAACAGCCCUCGUACAGCAGCCCUCAUGCAGCAGCCCUCAUGCAGCAGCAAACGGUGGCAAAAUACAGCAACGUCGGAAAACUGUGACCAAAAGGCAUUCCAUAGCAAAAUCCCGUCGCAGUUUUUUGCACAGCAUCACACGGCAAUGUCACCACCGAGGAAAACUGUGACCAAAAGGCAUUACACAACGAAAUCCUGCCGCAAUCUUUUGCACAUUGCCACACGGUAAAAAAGUGACGCACUGCAAAGCUCCAAGCACCAAGACUCACGGCAACGUCACCACCAU
rnacentral:lncRNA from 1 species